rnacentral:rRNA from 1 species
UACAGAGGUCCCAAGCGUUGUUCGGAUUCAUUGGGCGUAAGGGUGCGUAGGUGGCGCCGUAAGUGGGGUGUGAAAUUUCGGAGCUUAACUCCGAAACUGCAUUCCAUACUGCGGUGCUUGAGGACUGGAGAGGAGACUGGAAUUUACGGUGUAGCAGUGAAAUGCGUAGAGAUCGUAAGGAAGACCAGUGGCGAAGGCGGGUCUCGUGGACAGUUCCUGACACUGAGGCACGAAGGCCAGGGGAGCAAACGGG